AGAGAGACUCGCUGUCCAUGAUAAAAAAGGAAGGAAAGCAAAGGUGUGCGAGCCAGAACCACCUGCGCAGUCCAUCCUUUGGAGGCAAAGAAAAUGAAUUGAUGCGAAACUGGGUGGUCACACAUGCAAUAUAAGAGCCUUCAUCCAUUUCUCCUACCUUGAUUCAGCAAUUAAAGCAGAGUUGGGUGGAUUCCAGAGCCAUAAAGGUGGCAAAUUUGCAAAUCUAGCUAGUUGGGCUAUGGAGUGUGCCACUGCAUUCCCUUCCCUUGGUGUCCAGGCCUCAAUUAAGAGCUUGUUAUCUGAUUCAAAGAUUACCUUCUUCUGGUCUAUAUUGUGAGCAAUAUGAACGACCUCUCUCAAUAUCAGGGCUUCUGCAGCUAAAGGUGUACAUGGCUUUGGUAUGCUGAGAAGAUCUCCAUUUGUAAGCUAGCUGUAUUGGUCAAACACAAUAUGGGAUUAGGUAGUUGUCCCUAAAAAACUGCCUUGUUGCGCAUCUUCCAAAUUUCCCAAAGAAAAAUAGCUAGGUAAGAAAUAGAUUGGUCUAGAUCUGGGUCUGUUGAACUCAAAGCUGCUAUUAAACCUUCCAACCAACUAGCAAAGGGAAUGAUGGAGGCUUCCUAAAGAGCCAGGCUGAAGGUUCCUCCAAACCAAAAAGCUCAGAUCAAAUCACAAACCAGAAAAGUGUGGUUGAUGUCCUUUGCUUCUGCAUUGCAUAUAGGACAUAUCUCAUCUUUGGCUAGAUUUCUUCUCUUAAGAAUCUUUUUUAUUGUGAGAGCGUUGUUGCAGGCCUUCCAAAGGAAGGAUUUAAGUUUCUGUGGGAAAUCUUCAUUUUAUAAUUUUUUGACGUAAAAUACACUUACAUAUGAGCUUAUUGAACUUUUGGACUUCUAG